rnacentral:rRNA from 1 species
ACACUCCUACGGGAGGCAGCAGUGGGGAAUAUUGCACAAUGGGCGCAAGCCUGAUGCAGCCAUGCCGCGUGUAUGAAGAAGGCCUUCGGGUUGUAAAGUACUUUCAGCGGGGAGGAAGGCGAUAAGGUUAAUAACCUUGUCGAUUGACGUUACCCGCAGAAGAAGCACCGGCUAACUCCGUGCCAGCAGCCGCGGUAAUACGGAGGGUGCAAGCGUUAAUCGGAAUUACUGGGCGUAAAGCGCACGCAGGCGGUCUGUCAAGUCGGAUGUGAAAUCCCCAGGCUCAACCUGGGAACUGCAUUCGAAACUGGCAGGCUAGAGUCUUGUAGAGGGGGGUAGAAUUCCAGGUGUAGCGGUGAAAUGCGUAGAGAUCUGGAGGAAUACCGGUGGCGAAGGCGGCCCCCUGGACAAAGACUGACGCUCAGGUGCGAAAGCGUGGGGAGCAAACAGGAUUAGAUACCCUAGUAGUCCCAUGAU